UCCAGUGUGGCAUAGUGGUUUGAGCACUGGACUAUGACUCUAGAGAGCAGGGUUCAAAUCCCCACUUGGGGA